rnacentral:rRNA from 1 species
AUACGGAGGAUCCGAGCGUUAUCCGGAUUCAUUGGGUAUAAAGGGUGCGUAGGCGGCCCCCCAAGUCAGCGGUGAAAUGUCCGGGCCCAACCCGGAGGGUGCCGUUGAUACUGUGGGGCUGGAGUACGGACGCCGGCGGAGGAAUGAGUGGUGGAGCGGGGAAAUGCAUAGAUAUCACUCAGAACACCGAUUGCGAAGGCAUCCGCGGAGGCCGUUAAUGACGCUGAGGCACGAAAGCGUGGGGAUAGAACAGGAUUAGAUCCCCUGGUAUUCCACGCCGUAAACGAUGAUGACUAACCGCCGGGGGGUAGACUUCCGGCAGCCAAGCGAAAGCGAUAAGUCAUCCACCUGGGGAGUACGGCCGCAAGGUUGAAACUCAAAUGAAUUGGCGGGG